rnacentral:sRNA from 22 species
ACACAAGGAAGGAGGUGGUCCGCGAAAUUGAUAGCUUCAUGGACAUGUGAGGUGGCUGCGCGCUAGCAGCACCUGCUCGGAAGAGCUGGCGUCACAAGUGCGCUAGCGAAUUCCCCGCAGUCACCCGGCCCCCGAGCUUCCGGUUUUUGUCCGACCAGGAACACGGCUCGGGGGCCGCUCCAU